rnacentral:rRNA from 1 species
GGUACGGACGGGCGAGUGGUGGCGGGCAUUCGUAGGGCGGGAGCGGUGUCCGCGAUGAUUGGGCGUUGAGCGAUCGGAGGCGGUCGGGUGGGUGUGCUGUGAGAGCCCGGGGCGUAACCCGGGGCGUGCAGGGGAUACGGGCAGGCUUGAGGAACGCAGGGGAGAACUGAGUGCGCGGUGUAGCGGUGAAAUGCGCAGAUAUCGGGAGGAACACCGGUGGCGAAGGCGGUUCUCUGGGCCUGUGCUGACGCUGAGGAGCGAAAGCGUGUGGAGCGAACAGGAUUAGAUACCCGUGUAGUC